GUUCCUCAGAGCAUUAUGAAUAGUUUAUUCUAAGAGUCACACAGGACAAGAAGGACCAAAGAAGAUCAAAAGAAGGACAUCUCACCAGAAGCACUAGAGACUUCCCAGCUCUUUGUGGGAGAAUCUCUUCAUUAUUCCAUGAUUGCCAGACCACUUCUCAGCCAUGAAGAUCUGGCUUCUCAUUCUCUUCCUGCGGUGGCUGGAUUCUUUGAUUCCUCUUCAAACAAGUUGCGCACUAGUUUGAGAUGCUGGAGAAGCCCCGUCAGCUCGUUGCACAUCUGGUUUUUCCCCCCCAUUUCAGCUGCACACCCACAAGACGUCUCAUAGGAGUGGCAUGAACUGUCCAAAAGUGCUUUGGGGACAAUUUUUUUUAAAAGAAAGAGACCAGGAGGUUGUGUUUUUCUUUAUCGAGCCACAUGCUAUUUUGUGGGAAAGAAGCUAUCAUAAAAUAGCCUUAUGAUAUCAUUGUAUGAUGU